rnacentral:rRNA from 1 species
GGGGAAUCUUCCGCAAUGGACGAAAGUCUGACGGAGCAACGCCGCGUGAGUGAUGACGGCCUUCGGGUUGUAAAGCUCUGUGAUCGGGGACGAAUGGCUGGUGUGCUAAUACCACAUCAGAGUGACGGUACCCGAAUAGCAAGCCACGGCUAACUACGUGCCAGCAGCCGCGGUAAUACGUAGGUGGCAAGCGUUGUCCGGAAUUAUUGGGCGUAAAGCGCGCGCAGGCGGCUUCUUAAGUCCAUCUUAAAGUGCGGACUACNAC